GAUGAACGCUGGCGGCGUGCCUAAUACAUGCAAGUCGAACGAAACUUCUUUAUCACCGAGUGCUUGCACUCACCGAUAAAGAGUUGAGUGGCGAACGGGUGAGUAACACGUGGGCAACCUGCCCAAAAGAGGGGGAUAACACUUGGAAACAGGUGCUAAUACCGCAUAACCAUAGUUACCGCAUGGUAACUAUGUAAAAGGUGGCUAUACUACCGCUUUUGGAUGGGCCCGCGGCGCAUUAGCUAGUUGGAAGGGUAAAGGCUUACCAAGGCAAUGAUGCGUAGCCGAAUUGAGAGGUUGAUCGGCCACAUUGGGACUGAGACACGGCCCAAACUCCUACGGGAGGCAGCAGUAGGGAAUCUUCCACAAUGGGCGAAAGCCUGAUGGAGCAACGCCGCGUGGGUGAAGAAGGUCUUCGGAUCGUAAAACCCUGUUGUUAGAGAAGAAAGUGCGUGAGAGUAACUGUUCACGUUUCGACGGUAUCUAACCAGAAAGCCACGGCUAACUACG
rnacentral:rRNA from 1 species